CAGUAGCCGCGGUAAUACGAAGGGUGCAAGCGUUACUCGGAAUUACUGGGCGUAAAGCGUGCGUAGGUGGUGGUUUAAGUCCGUUGUGAAAGCCCUGGGCUCAACCUGGGGAUUGCAGUGGAUACUGGAUCACUAGAGUGUGGUAGAGGAUAGUGGAAUUUCCGGUGUAGCAGUGAAAUGCGUAGAGAUCGGAAGGAACAUCUGUGGCGAAGGCGACUAUCUGGGCCAACACUGACACUGAGGCACGAAAGCGUGGGGAGCAAACAGGAUUAGAUACCCCUGUAGUCCCUGUCUCUUAUAU
rnacentral:rRNA from 1 species